GGUUCUGCAAAUUUUGAAUCAGCCUGCGGCUCCGAAAAUGUGAUGAUUGUGUCGGACGAAGGCAACGAUGAUGUUACUUCUUUCACCCUUACCCACGAAAUAUCACAUACAAUCGGAUCGUUUCAUGAUGGUCAAGGUAAAGCACUCAACUGCUUAGACAUUGGAUAUAUAAUGAGCCCUUAUAUGAUAAGAGCCCCAAAUCCAUCCUACUCUGAUUGCAGCAUUAGGGAUAUUAGGAGGUUUUUGAGCAAACCAGCAGCUAAGUGCUUGUUUGAAGACACGAGUGACCCUCAACUUGACGUCACAAGGGCUGCCAGGUGCAGCGCCUUCCUGCCAUCGGGCGAGGUGCUGCUGCGU